CAUUGGAAAAUAUGGAAAGGUUUUUAUCAGAAGUUCUAAUUGACAGUCAAAAUGGAGGAGGAGAGUCAUUGAUUGGGACUAUAAAGAUAGCAGUUUCACCCAUAGCAAAGGUUUUUACAGUUUGCUUCUUGGGAUUUCUUCUUGCUUAUUUUAAGCUAUUACCAGCCAAUGGAAGGAAGCUUUUAAAUGGGUUGGUUUUUUCACUUUUACUUCCAUGUUUGAUAUUCUCUUAACUCAGACAAGCCAUCACUUUAGAGAAAAUGAUUGAGUGGUGGUUCAUUCCUUUUAACGUUGUUCUAGCUACCAUAUCAGGGUCGUUAAUAGGUCUAUUUGUUGCGUCCAUCGUCCGUCCCCCAUACCCAUUCUUCAAGUUUACUAUCAUACAAAUUGGAAUCGGUAAGCUACUUUAAAUUGUGAAGUUAGCAUUUGUUAAUGAUAUAUGAAAUGCUCCCUUAGCUUCUGUCAAGUAUUUAUCCUGAUUGUUUUGGUUUCUUACUUUGUAGGAGAGUCCUGAUGUCCAAUUUUACUAUCAACAUGGA